rnacentral:miRNA from 1 species
GUUCAGGUAAUAGAAAUGUAC